UGCAACUUCCCUUUUCAGCAGAAGACCCUCCAGUUGUUGGUGUAUUUGACCACUUAGAAAAGCAAUUUGUUCUGUUCACACCCGCCAAGCCACAAGUGAAGGGCAAAUCAUCAAAGAAAAUUUGAAGUUGAAAGCAGAAGGUGUAUCAAGAUUCCUGAUAACCUUGUGCAUUUCAGACAUUUGACAGAUGCACCGGAGGAAGAUGAUCAUACUGCCCUACUCGGUUAGCCACAAUACAA